rnacentral:tRNA from 1 species
AUCAGGAUGGCCGAGUGGUUAAGGCGUUAGUCUGACAUUCCAAUGGAUGUUUAAUCCACGUGGGUUUGAACCUCACUCCUGGUA